AACAGACAUAUAUGAAGAGGAAGGACCAGGUAGCUAUAUAUUGUCACUGCUGAUGAGAAACUGCAGAUUACUAAGAGCAACAAUGGAGGAAACAUUUCUGCUUUAUCUCUUUCUGAUCUUAGUGCUGAGCUGUGCAGCAAAUCAAGCUCGUCUGACUGUGAGUCCCAGCAGCUCUCAGCU